GUGCUAUCGCUUCAACAGCACAUAUAUUAAAAUUGGAACGAUACAGACAAGAUUAGCAUGGCCCCCGUGCAUCUAUAUUCAUCAGGAAUAUCUGCCUAUAAUU
rnacentral:snRNA from 1 species